AGUGGAAUAACUGGGCCAAAUGGUAGUUUCAUUCCAGGUUUUCUGAGGAAUUUCCAUACUGCUUUCCAGAGUGGUUGCCCCAAUUUGCAACCCCACCAGCAAU
rnacentral:pre_miRNA from 1 species